UUACAUAGCACGGACACCUGACCACAGGGGUCCGUGCUGGGGUAAAGGGGAGUUUGGACUCCCUGAGCCUUCAGCCGGGCUGCUUCUGGUGAAAAGGCAUUGCCCUGGGGUCACAGAUUGAAACGUAGAGGCAGGAGUUGAGGCAGGAUUGGGGCCAUAACCUGGGGCCGCAGGACCACGAGGAUGUCCCAUGGCAGAGGACGCUGGGCAGUCCAGCUCCAACUCCCCCACUGCCUCUCCGGGAGGGGCAAGGCAGAAACCACCAAGCCCACGACUCACUGGCUGCGGCUUCUCCACCUCCUGCCCCACCUCAGGCCCUGAGUCUCUCCCACCAGCCUCACCUCUGUGGGCAUCUUUGCUGGCAGUCCCUGAGCUGCCCCGCAGGGGCGUCACCACACCUGGCAGAGUCCAGCCCACAUGCUGAGGACAGAAGCCAGGGCCUCGAGUGUUCGAGGUGAGUGCUGUUUGCUGCCCAGCUCAGGCCCAGUGGGACAUUUUGGAGCUGCCCCCGGGUUCCGGCAGGAGUCCGGACCUGUCCUGUCAUCUCUGAGUCAAGUUCCACUUUUGCAGAGACCACAGUGUGAGCGUCCAUUUUGUCACUGAUGGACAUCUCAGUAGCUUCUGAUUUAGGGCUGAUAGGAAUUAAAGCCUCUAUGAACAUUAUA